CCCGGCUCAGCGCUCGGCUCCGCGUUUGCUGCAGCUCCGGGCCGGGCCGGGCUCCGUCCGGGGUCAAGGCCAAGGUGAACGCCGAGAGCGGCGCUGCGCGGCCGCCGUCGGGUCCAGGAGGUGCGGGGGGUCGGAACGGGGCCGCUCGGAGUGAGAAAACCCGAAGGGAUCCGAGCUGGAGAGGAGCUGCGGACGCAGAGGAGCGACUGCCCGCGGGUCGGGCCGCUGAUGCUCCUUUCCCACCCCACGGGCAGCCCCCGAAGCUCGGGGGGACAUAGGGGAGAAUAUUUCCCUCCCUGGUGCUUGGAGGGCUGGAAUCUGUACUUCAUAGCACGUUGCUCUUGGAUCCUUUGAACAAAUCAGCUGGCAUGGGAACAGACAGCACGGCCUGGCUCCUCUUCUCUCCUUUUAUCCUUGUCUAUUGCUCCUGGCCGAGCCCCUGUGCUGCAAUCGCUGCAGCACAUUUUUGACCCCCCUCUUCAGGGUGCAAUGUGGAGCGACCUCAAACUUGAAGCAUUUUGUUGGACCCGGUUCUCUUUAUCCCUGCACUUCAGGUCUCCCCUCCCAGGGUUUGUUUGGCCAAAGGCUUCUUCCCUACCUUUCAGUUUCCCUUUGAGGAACCAGGAGGGCUGAGCACCCUGGACAGACAAACCUGAAACCUCCACUUCGGGGCUCUCCCUCCCUUUCUCCAAAAUAUGGUGUUGAAACUCCAGCAGGUUCCCCAAAGGCUGCAGCUCCUUUGGAAUAUGCCCCUCUUUAAGCCCCCUCCCCCUGCCCUCCUCAGAGGAGGGCUGAAACUCCAGAAGGGGCCCAUUCUGCCCCCACUGCUGCCUCCAGGAAAGGAAGAGGUCUGGUUGGGGUCUGUAUGGCUUUGGCUGCAGAGCAGAAGCCCGAGGAAAUCGGAGGCAAUGUGGCCUGGGUACAGCUUAUGAAGCAAAUGAUCCUGUCUUGGAGCAGGGAGAGAAAAUAUAAGCACUCAUCUGCUACUGCAAAUAGAGACUUUAGCACAUCCUCAACCUGGAAACAGCCCCGUAAAUACUGCUGGGUAUCCACGUCUGUGUUGUCUCUGCGUACAGCCCAGCUCUUCGAGUGCUAUUCCUUUAAAUAUGGCAAAAUGUGCAUCUCUGCACAUGUACCCCCCUAUGUGUGUGUGAGUGGCUGCACAUCCAUCCUGCACAGAGUCCCACCCCACUGGAGCAGUACUUUUGCCUGAGCACAUAUCCCUUUUUGGCAGCGAGCACCCAUCACUGCACACCCCAGGGAUUAAUUCAGUGUUCCCCAGGUUCCUGUUCAGCUAAAGCAAAUAAUUUCAGCUGCUGUGGGAUAAAAGAGAAUAAAAACUGCUCUGUGCGCAGCU
ensembl:lncRNA